CGGGUGAGUAACGCGUGAGGAACCUGCCUCAAAGAGGGGGACAACAGUUGGAAACGACUGCUAAUACCGCAUAAGCCCACGGUGCCGCAUGGCACAGAGGGAAAAGGAGCAAUCCGCUUUGAGAUGGCCUCGCGUCCGAUUAGCUAGUUGGUGAGGUAACGGCCCACCAAGGCAACGAUCGGUAGCCGGACUGAGAGGUUGAACGGCCGCAUUGGGACUGAGACACGGCCCAGACUCCUACGGGAGGCAGCAUG
rnacentral:rRNA from 1 species